GAUUUAACCAUAGCUUGGUGGUAGAGCACCUGCUUUGCAUGCAGAAGGUUCCAGGUUCAGUCCUUGGGAUCUCCA